rnacentral:rRNA from 1 species
AGCGAACGCUGGCGGCAGGCUUAACACAUGCAAGUCGAGCGGGCGUAGCAAUACGUCAGCGGCAGACGGGUGAGUAACGCGUGGGAACGUACCUUUUGGUUCGGAACAACACAGGGAAACUUGUGCUAAUACCGGAUAAGCCCUUACGGGGAAAGAUUUAUCGCCGAAAGAUCGGCCCGCGUCUGAUUAGCUAGUUGGUGAGGUAACGGCUCACCAAGGCGACGAUCAGUAGCUGGUCUGAGAGGAUGAUCAGCCACAUUGGGACUGAGACACGGCCCAAACUCCUACGGGAGGCGGCAGUGGGGAAUAUUGGACAAUGGGGGCAACCCUGAUCCAGCCAUGCCGCGUGAGUGAUGAAGGCCCUAGGGUUGUAAAGCUCUUUUGUGCGGGAAGAUAAUGACGGUACCGCAAGAAUAAGCCCCGGCUAACUUCGUG